UACGGAGGGUGCAAGCGUUAUCCGGAUUCACUGGGUUUAAAGGGUGCGUAGGUGGGCAGGUAAGUCAGUGGUGAAAUCUCCAGGCUUAACCCGGAAACUGCCGUUGAUACUAUCUGUCUUGAAUAUCGUGGAGGUGAGCGGAAUAUGUCAUGUAGCGGUGAAAUGCUUAGAUAUGACAUAGAACAUCAAUUGCGAAGGCAGCUCGCUACACGGUUAUUGACACUGAGGCACGAAAGCGUGGGGAUCAAACAGG
rnacentral:rRNA from 1 species